UACGUAGGUGACCAGCGUUGUCCGGAUUUACUGGGCGUAAAGAGCGCGCAGGCGGUCGUUCAAGUCGAGUGUGAAAGCCCCCAGCUCAACUGGGGAGGGUCACUCGAUACUGAUCGACUUGAAGGCAGGAGAGGGAAGCGGAAUUCCCGGUGUAGUGGUGAAAUGCGCAGAUAUCAGGAGGAACACCGGUGGCGAAGGCGGGACUCUGGGCCGAUACUGACGCUGAGGAGCGAAAGCGUGGGGAGCAAACAGG
rnacentral:rRNA from 1 species